rnacentral:rRNA from 1 species
UACGUAGGGGGCAAGCGUUGUCCGGAAUCAUUGGGCGUAAAGCGCGUGUAGGCGGCUCGAUAAGUCUGCUGUGAAAGUUCAGGGCUCAACCCUGAAAUGCCGGUGGAAACUGUCGGGCUAGAGUCCGGAAGAGGCGAGUGGAAUUCCUGGUGUAGCGGUGAAAUGCGCAGAUAUCAGGAGGAACACAAUGGCGAAGGCAGCUCGCUGGGACGGUACUGACGCUGAGACGCGAAAGCGUGGGGAGCAAACAGG